AUACUUGUCAUUUUCUUAGCAAGACAAGGUGUAUUGUGGUAAUUUUGCCCUAGUUCCAUGCAUGUUGGCCUUCUAUUUGUAGCUACAAGCCUGGAUUCUGAAUGGUCAUGUACCAACUCUUGAAAGCUCCACGGUUGAUAAGAAAGAGAGAAAGCUGGGAGAGAGAAUUCGAGCCUUCAAUCUCUCUUUUUAAUGUUUCUUGCUCAAAUGAGUAUUCCAACAGCAGUAGCCUUAUGCAACAAGAGCAUAUAUUUUUUACUUGUAUCACUGUAAUAUGAUGUUGCUGGAAUGCUACUGUUUCUGAGAUGCUCAUUUGAGCAAGUAAUAUUAGAAGAUGAUAUUUUUGCACCAGGGCUUGCUUCGAAAAGGAUCGAGUGCAGCAUGCUUGUUCUUAGUUUAUCAGAUAAGUUAGUGUAAUUUUCUUUCUUAGCCAUACAUGUCAUGGUUUUCUGAUUUUUCCUCACACGAGGCCUAGCAAUAAAUCAGGUUUAGGGUUUCCUUUUCUUUUUGAAUUCUCUUUUGAUCUUUAGUUGUUAUAAAUAGUACUGGUUUUCUCGAGACAGGUAAUCCUUCUGGUUCUCUCCCCACUUUUCAUGCCCUUCUUCUUUAAUUCCUCCUCUUCCUCUUUCUUCUUCCCUUGGUCUUGUUCAAUUUUAUGUCUUUUAUCUUAUCAGUCCAUCUACAAAGCCUUUUCCUAUGAUGAUCACAGGUUCUGUUCUUUGCCUGAUGUCUUGAAUUGAAGCUAAUUGUGCUUUGCAUAUAUGGAAGUCCUUCUGCUUCUGAUCACACAGGUUGCCCAAAUCUCUUAGAAUCUCUGUGGCCAGCACUGUCUUUACUGCUUAUCGAUAUUUGAUUCAUGACUGAUUCACAUGAGUCUUUCUCCUUGUGGGGACUGACAGGCAGGCUGCAGUUUUGUUAUGAUACUUUUGUCACCAUGAGAUCCCAUGCUUGUUUCAUCUCAAGUUCUAUUUUCUCCCUGGAUUCUCAAUAAAGUCCUUGGAUGUUUUGUUGCAUGGUUCUGUGAGAUUAAUUUUGCGUCCUAUAGCGGGACCUCUCUUCUGCUUAUAUAUGUAUGUCCCCUUGUCUGCUAUAGCAUGGAUUACUGUCCAUGCCUUAAAAUUUGUUCUAUGUGCUGUAAGCAUGGUUCUUUGUGAUUUUUUCCCUUGUAGUACUACUCUUCUGAUAAUACAAGUCUGUUAUUUCAUGGCCAGUGCCUGUGGCCUUGUUACUGAGGUCAUUGGUGCUUUAUAUUGGUCUGCAUGCUUAUUUCAGGUUGCUGUUCUGGGCUACUACCAAGGGCUACUACUGACAUGCUGAUGUGCUUGUCGCUAGCUGCUAUAAAAGCUGACGAAGCUUAAUGUCCCUUUUGUGAUAGCAAACUUGAGACUUCAGAUCACCUUCUUCUUCAUUGUCUAGAUGUGUGGAAAUUAUAGAACUGUUUCCUUUCUUGGUGGGGGUGUCUACAGUUGCUUUCCUAAAUCGAUAGAUCAUCAGAUUCUGCAGUGGCGUUCGUCGGUUAAUGGCAAGAUGCAAAAAAAAAAAAACUUGACAUAUUCUCUUUUAUGGGAUAGCGUGCAUGGGAUACAUGGUUGGCUCGGAAUAACCUAAUCUUCAAUUCAAAACAACCAAGCUGGGACACAGUUCUUGACUUGAUUAUUCACAGGUUGGCUAUGUGGUUGAAAUCAAGUGUCGGGAAUUUUAGUUGCACAGGCAAUGAUCUGGUGCAAAGUACAAAUACCCUUCUUCUUUGGAGUAAUUAGCUAGAUUUGUAUGGUUUGCAUUCUAAUCGGGGAAUUAUUGUCUUUCCUCUUUUUCUCUUUCGUUUCUUCGUUCUUGUUCUUGUUUCUAUUUUCUCCUGUCAUUCUUCAAAUGGCUAAGUUCAUUUUCAAUAUAUCGAGUAGUAUCCUAAGAAACAGAUGCUUACAGCUUUACUUAUGUUGUUGUUGCAGCUUCAAGCAAUCCAAGUCUACAAUACCAUUACCUUCCAUUCAA